CGGAACGUGCCCAGUAGCGGGGGAUAACUACGCGAAAGCGUAGCUAAUACCGCAUACGCCCUACGGGGGAAAGGGGGGGAUCGUAAGACCUCUCACUAUUGGAGCGGCCGAUAUCGGAUUAGCUAGUUGGUGAGGUAAAGGCUCACCAAGGCGGCGAUCCGUAGCUGGUUUGAGAGGACGACCAGCCACACUGGGACUGAGACACGGCCCAGACUCCUACGGGAGGCAGCAGUGGGGAAUUUUGGACAAUGGGGGAAACCCUGAUCCAGCCAUUCCGCGUGUGCGAUGAAGGCCUUCGGGUUGUAAAGCACUUUUGGCGGGAAAGAAAUCGGUCGGGCUAAUACCCUGACCGGAUGACGGUACCCGCAGAAUAAGCACCGGCUAACUACGUGCCAGCAGCCGCGGUAAUACGUAGGGUGCAAGCGUUAAUCGGAAUUACUGGGCGUAAAGCGUGCGCAGGCGGUUCGGAAAGAAAGAUGUGAAAUCCCAGGGCUCAACCUUGGAACUGCAUUUUUAACUACCGGGCUAGAGUGUGUCAGAGGGAGGUGGAAUUCCGCGU
rnacentral:rRNA from 1 species